GAUGAACGCUGGCGGCGUGCUUAACACAUGCAAGUCGAACGAUGAAGCCCAGCUUGCUGGGUGGAUUAGUGGCGAACGGGUGAGUAACACGUGAGUAACCUGCCCUUAACUCUGGGAUAAGCCUGGGAAACUGGGUCUAAUACCGGAUAGGAGCGUCCACCGCAUGGUGGGUGUUGGAAAGAUUUAUCGGUUUUGGAUGGACUCGCGGCCUAUCAGCUUGUUGGUGAGGUAAUGGCUCACCAAGGCGACGACGGGUAGCCGGCCUGAGAGGGUGACCGGCCACACUGGGACUGAGACACGGCCCAGACUCCUACGGGAGGCAGCAGUGGGGAAUAUUGCACAAUGGGCGCAAGCCUGAUGCAGCGACGCCGCGUGAGGGAUGACGGCCUUCGGGUUGUAAACCUCUUUCGGUAGGGAAGAAGCGAAAGUGACGGUACCUGCAGAAGAAGCACCGGCUAACUACGUG
rnacentral:rRNA from 1 species